CACACUUCCUGACCGACAUGAAAUCAGCUGCAGAUGACUAGUAGCUGCUGGCUCUGGUGUAGAAGAAGCCAAUGAACAAUUGUACCCAGUACUGCAGUCCUAUAAACAUGGAGCUUAUGGUACAAGAAGACACCUAAUUUUAGUAAAUAAAGGUAUUAGUCAUCA